rnacentral:rRNA from 1 species
AGAUUGAACGCUGGCGGCAUGCUUUACACAUGCAAGUCGAACGGUAACAGGCCGCAAGGUGCUGACGAGUGGCGAACGGGGUGAGUAAUGUAUCGGAACGUGCCCAGUCGUGGGGGGAUAACGCAGCGAAAGCUGCGCUAAUACCGCAUACGAGUCUAUGGAUGAAAGCGGGGGACCUAAGGCCUCGCGCGAUUGGAGCGGCCGAUAUCAGUAUUAGCUAGUUGGUGGGGUAAAAGCCUACCAAGGCGACGAUCUGUAGCUGGUCUGAGAGGACGACCAGCCACACUGGAACUGAGACACGGUCCAGACUACCUACGGGAGCAGCAGUGGGGAAUUUGGACAAGUGGGACGCAAGCCUGA